rnacentral:rRNA from 1 species
GAUCCUGAGUACGGCGGAACACGUGAAAUUCCGUCGGAAUCCGGGAGGACCAUCUCCCAAGGCUAAAUACUCCCUAGUGACCGAUAGUGAACCAGUACCGUGAGGGAAAGGUGAAAAGCACCCCGGAAGGGGAGUGAAACAGUUCCUGAAACCGUGUGCCUACAAGUAGUUAGAGCCCGUUAAUGGGUGAUAGCGUGCCUUUUGUAGAAUGAACCGGCGAGUUACGAUUUGUUGCAAGGUUAAGCGGAAAAAGCGGAGCCGUAGCGAAAGCGAGUCUGAAUAGGGCGCAUAAGUAACAGGUCGUAGACCCGAAACCAGGUGAUCUACCCAUGUCCAGGAUGAAGGUAAGGUAAUACUUACUGGAGGUCCGAACCCACGCACGUUGAAAAGUGCGGGGAUGAGGUGUGGGUAGCGGAGAAAUUCCAAUCGAACUUGGAGAUAGCUGGUUCUCUCCGAAAUAGCUUUAGGGCUAGCCUCGAGGUAAAGAGUCAUGGAGGUAGAGCACUGUUUGGACUAGGGGCCCUUCUCGGGUUACCGAAUUCAGAUAAACUCCGAAUGCCAUGUACUUAUACUCGGGAGUCAGACUGCGAGUGAUAAGAUCCGUAGUCGAAAGGGAAACAGCCCAGACCACCAGUUAAGGUCCCCAAAUAUAUGUUAAGUGGAAAAGGAUGUGGGGUUGCUUAGACAACCAGGAUGUUGGCUUAGAAGCAGCCACCAUUGAAAGAGUGCGUAAUAGCUCACUGGUCGAGUGACCCCGCGCCGAAAAUGUACCGGGGCUAAACAUAUUACCGAAACUGUGGAUGAACCUCUUUAGAGGUUCGUGGUAGGAGAGCGUUCUAAGGGCGGUGAAGUCAGACCGGAAGGACUGGUGGAGCGCUUAGAAGUGAGAAUGCCGGUAUGAGUAGCGAAAGAAGGGUGAGAAUCCCUUCCACCGAAUAUCUAAGGUUUCCUGAGGAAGGCUCGUCCGCUCAGGGUUAGUCGGGACCUAAGCCGAGGCCGAUAGGCGUAGGCGAUGGACAACAGGUAGAGAUUCCUGUACCAGUGCUAAUUGUUUAACCGAUGGGGUGACACAGAAGGAUAGGGAAUCGCACGAAUGGAAAUGUGCGUCCAAGCAGUGAGUGUGAGAAGUAGGCAAAUCCGCUUCUCGCGAAGCAUGAGCUGUGAUGGGGAAGGAAAUUAAGUACGGAAGUUCCUGAUUUCACGCUGUCAAGAAAAGCCUCUAGGAAGAGUAGUACUGCCCGUACCGCAAACCGACACAGGUAGAUGAGGAGAGAAUCCUAAGGUGAGCGAGAGAACUCUCGUUAAGGAACUCGGCAAAAUGACCCCGUAACUUCGGGAGAAGGGGUGCUCUAUUAGGGUGCAAGCCCGAGAGAGCCGCAGUGAAUAGGCCCAGGCGACUGUUUAGCAAAAACACAGGUCUCUGCAAAACCGUAAGGUGACGUAUAGGGGCUGACGCCUGCCCGGUGCUGGAAGGUUAAGAGGAGUGCUUAGCUUCGGCGAAGGUACGAAUUGAAGCCCCAGUAAACGGCGGCCGUAACUAUAACGGUCCUAAGGUAGCGAAAUUCCUUGUCGGGUAAGUUCCGACCCGCACGAAAGGCGCAACGAUCUGGGCACUGUCUCAACGAGAGACUCGGUGAAAUUAUAGUACCUGUGAAGAUGCAGGUUACCCGCGACAGGACGGAAAGACCCCGUGGAGCUUUACUGCAACCUGAUAUGGAAUGUUUGUACCGCUUGUACAGGAUAGGUAGGAGCCGAAGAGACGUGUGCGCUAGCAUACGAGGAGGCAAUGGUGGGAUACUACCCUGGCUGUAUGACCAUUCUAACCCGCCACGCUUAGCGCGUGGGGAGACAGUGUCAGGUGGGCAGUUUGACUGGGGCGGUCGCCUCCUAAAGAGUAACGGAGGCGCCCAAAGGUUCCCUCAGAAUGGAUGGAAAUCAUUCGCAGAGUGUAAAGGCACAAGGGAGCUUGACUGCGAGACUGACAAGUCGAGCAGGGACGAAAGUCGGGCUUAGUGAUCCGGUGGUUCCGCAUGGAAGGGCCAUCGCUCAACGGAUAAAAGCUACCCCGGGGAUAACAGGCUUAUCUCCCCCAAGAGUCCACAUCGACGGGGAGGUUUGGCACCUCGAUGUCGGCUCGUCGCAUCCUGGGGCUGUAGUCGGUCCCAAGGGUUGGGCUGUUCGCCCAUUAAAGCGGCACGCGAGCUGGGUUCAGAACGUCGUGAGACAGUUCGGUCCCUAUCCGUCGCGGGCGCAGGAAAUUUGAGAGGAGCUGUCCUUAGUACGAGAGGACCGGGAUGGACACACCGCUGGUGUACCAGUUGUUCCGCCAGGAGCAUCGCUGGGUAGCUAUGUGUGGCAGGGAUAAACGCUGAAAGCAUCUAAGCGUGAAGCCCCCCUCAAGAUGAGAUUUCCCAUUUCUUCGGAAAGUAAGAUCCCUGAAAGAUGAUCAGGUAGAUAGGUUUGGAGUGGAAGUGUAGCGAUACAUGGAGCGGACAAAUACUAAUCGAUCGAGGACUUAACCAAAA